rnacentral:rRNA from 1 species
GAUGAACGCUAGCGGCAGGCCUAACACAUGCAAGUCGAGGGGUAUUAGGAGCUUGCUCCUAAGAGACCGGCGCACGGGUGCGUAACGCGUAUGCAAUCUACCUUGUACAGGGGAAUAGCCUUUGGAAACAGGGAUUAAUACCGCAUAAAGCAGGGACACCGCAUGGUGAUAUUGCUAAAGAUUUAUCGGUGAUAGAUGGGCAUGCGUCUGAUUAGUUAGUUGGCAGGGUAACGGCCUACCAAGACGAUGAUCAGUAGGGGGCGUCAGAGCGUGGUCCCCCACACUGGCACUGAGAUACGGGCCAGACUCGUGAUGCU